GUAGUGUUUUUGUGUGUCGGUAUUUCCGUUUGUAGCGUAAAAGUGAGGAUCUGCCGCCUAAUAAAAUCCUCCUAACCUUGUUUGUGGCUUAUUGGGCUACUUUAUCAAAGUAACGAUUAUUUGGGU
rnacentral:ncRNA from 1 species